AGAGUUUGAUCCUGGCUCAGAACGAACGCUGGCGGCAGGCCUAACACAUGCAAGUCGAGCGCGCCUUCGGGCGAGCGGCGGACGGGUUAGUAACGCGUGGGAACGUGCCCAGAUCUACGGAAUAGCCACUGGAAACGGUGAGUAAUACCGUAUACGCCCUUCGGGGGAAAGAUUUAUCGGAUUUGGAUCGGCCCGCGUUAGAUUAGGUAGUUGGUGGGGUAACGGCCUACCAAGCCUACGAUCUAUAGCUGGUUUUAGAGGAUGAUCAGCAACACUGGGACUGAGACACGGCCCAGACUCCUACGGGAGGCAGCAGUGGGGAAUCUUGGACAAUGGGGGCAACCCUGAUCCAGCCAUGCCGCGUGAGUGAAGAAGGCCCUAGGGUCGUAAAACUCUUUCGCCUGUGAUGAUAAUGACAGUAGCAGGUAAAGAAACCCCGGCUAACUCCGUGCCAGCAGCCGCGGUAAUACGGAGGGGGUUAGCGUUGUUCGGAAUUACUGGGCGUAAAGCGCACGUAGGCGGAUUAGAAAGUUAGAGGUGAAAUCCCGGGGCUCAACCCCGGAACUGCCUUUAAAACUAUUAGUCUAGAGUUCGAGAGAGGUGAGUGGAAUUCCGAGUGUAGAGGUGAAAUUCGUAGAUAUUCGGAGGAACACCAGUGGCGAAGCGGCUCACUGGCUCGAUACUGACGCUGAGUGCGAAAGUGUGGGGAGCAAACAGGAUUAGAUACCCUGGUAGUCCACACCGUAAACGAUGAAUGCCAGUCGUCGGGUAGUAUACUAUUCGGUGACACACCUAACGGAUUAAGCAUUCCGCCUGGG
rnacentral:rRNA from 1 species